UAGGUGAAAGCUUACAUCUCUUCGGAGCAUUUUACGUAGGUGCUGCAUGGUUGUCGUCAGCUCGUGCCGUGAGGUGUCGGGUUAAGUCCCAUAACGAGCGCAACCCUACCUUUAGUUGCCAUCAGGUAAUGCUGGGGACUCUAAAGGAACUGCCUACGCAAGUAGUGAGGAAGGCGGGGAGUGACGUCAAAUCAGCACGGCCCUUACGUCCAGGGCUACACACGUGCUACAAUGGCCGAUACAGAGGGCAGCUACCUGGUGACAGGAUGCAAAUCUCCAAAGUCGGUCUCAGUUCGGAUCGGAGUCUGCAACCCGACUCCGUGAAGUUGGAUUCGCUAGUAAUCGCGCAUCAGCCAUGGCGCGGUGAAUACGUUCCCGGGCCUU
rnacentral:rRNA from 1 species